rnacentral:rRNA from 1 species
CGCCUCUAGUAUAAAAAAUUGGAGGUCCAUCCUGCCCUAUGAAAAAUUUAAAUGGCCGCGGUACCUUGACCGUGUUAAGGUAGCAUAAUAAUUUGCCUUUUAAUUGAAGGCUUGUAUGAAUGGAUAAACGAGAAUAAUGCUGUCUCAAUCUUAGUAGUAAAAAUUAAUAUUCAAAUGAAGAAGUUUGAAUAUAUUAAAAAGACAAGAAGACCCUGUUGAGCUUUAUCUCUAAUAAAAUAGAAUAGAUUGAAUUAUUGAUUUUUUUAAAAAGAGGUUUAAUUGGGGCGAUUAAGGAAGAAAUAAAAUCUUCCUGAAAAUUAAAAGAUUUUAAAUCUUAAUAUAUAUCCAUUAUUAGUGAAUAGAUAAUUAGCUACCACAGGGAUAACAGGCUAAUUUCUUUUAAGAGUUCAUAUCGAAAAAGAAGUUUGGCACCUCGAUGUUGGCUUAGGAUAAGAAUUAAAUGCAGAAGUUUAAUGUACUGGGU